GGAGCAGUGAAGAACUAUUUCCUGUAGUGCUUUAUCCUACUUAACUGUGAAUAUAACCUGGAUAGCGCAUCAGGCAUGAGGCACCAUUGCCGGGCCCUGGAUAGAACUAAACCAAUAAUUCUCAGAUCUCUUUAAUACCGACUCUGUUAUAUUGUACUCUCCCAAGUGCUUUGUACAGUGCUCUGCACACAGUAGGUGCUCAAUAAAAGCAAUCGAUCGAAUCGAUUUGGUAAGCUAUUCUUUCCAUUCUCUAAACUACUGCCAGGUAGAAUAGACAUCGGUUAAAACGUUUCUCUCACGUCAUUCUCUUGUUUCUUUUCUUUUUUUUCUUCUUUCAUUUAGGAAGCUGCCUAAGAGAUUUUGUGAAUGUCGAUACUGAAUUCUCAAGGAUUAAGGCUCAGCAAAGCUGCUGUGAAGUAAUUCAGAAGGACCUACCCUAUGGAUUGGCAGCACAGAGCUAUGCUACGGUGGAAACACAACAGUUCCGUGGAGAAGGUGGAGUUUCUCUGUUCCCCGGACAAAAGAAGCCCAGAGGACUGCCUCUGUGUCGCUCCCCUUAGAAGAGGAUCCCCGUGGCGAUCAAGGAUCUUAGCAUGGUUGUGUUCAUGGAUUUUCACCUUUCCUACUACUCAGGGACACCAGCUGAGGCAAAAAUGGCAUUGGCGGUGUUGAGAGAGGAAAUAGACAUGCCUCAAGGAGGGCCAGAAAGGCCAAACCGGCUUGACAGCCCACCCGCCUUCCAUUACUCUGCGCUCCCCAGAGUCGUAAUCUGACUCAGAGAGAUGAGAGAGCUGGUAUAUAGGCCAAUGUUCCCUUAUUCCUCUUUUGCCAUGCUCUAUUCAAAGAAUAGAUCUCCUUCUUCCUUUGUGAGCCAGCUUCUCCUCUUUGGCUUGAACUUUCCAAUUUUUGUCUUCGUCUUUUCUAGGAACUUGAAUUUGUUUUCCAGAAAAAGAAAAUACUCAUCCUAUGCAGUCAUGAAUUUAGUCUGAGCUAGUUUUAAUAAUAAUAACAACAAUAAAAAUACCUUGGUUUUGAACAGCACACUUGUUCCCAAAGCACUGUCGUAAAUUAGGUUGUCGGCAUUCAGCCUGAAGAAAAAAAUGUUAAAAGCUGGGAUUUUACAAGCCUUUCGCCCAGAGAGAUUUCUUCAGAUAAGAUUGCAAAUCCUUCAAAAUAGAAGAGGAUCAAGGGAAUCAAGGCACAUGGUAACAUCUUUGUGUAGGACCUUCCUCAAAAUAUCUCAUUCAUUAUUGAAAGAAAGCAAAUGAAAUUCUCAGAAGGUUUCAUCUAAAUAAUAAUUUGGAUGUUACCUUUUUCUCUUAGAGAAUGUUCUCCUUCCUAAACCCACUCCAUUAUAACAAACAUACUCCAUGUAAGUGGAGUGUACUAUUAUGUUCUGUAUGUACAGCGCUAAAUUAUUCAAAGUGUUCCUCGCAUCUCUUGUUUCUUUUCUUGCUAACUCUAGUAAGAAGAUAUUGGUUAUAAGCAGUCCAUCUCCAAAACAGACAAAUGUAGGUUGAAAAAAACCAGAGAAAAGGCAAUGUAGGUCAUUAAAAUGCCUUUUAAAGUCUUGGAAUUCUUUUAAAACUUGUUAAAACUUGAAUUAUUAAUGAUAAUGUCAUAGUGCUAUAUAAAUUAAUAGUUAUUUGCAAAUAAAACUCUUUUUAAAACGUUUUGGAUCCAUUCUAGAAUCUGUAUAUAAGCAGCUGUGCAGAAUUCCCAGGACAUAGGAUGCCACUGACAAGAAAAC
rnacentral:lncRNA from 1 species